rnacentral:rRNA from 1 species
GACGAACGCUGGCGGCGUGCUUAACACAUGCCAGUCGAACGGAAAGGCCUGCUUUCCCUUGUGGAUUGCGGGUACUCUAGUGGCGAACGGGUGAGUAACACGUGAGUGAUCUGCCCCCAACUUGGGUAUAAGCCUGGGAAACUGGGUCUAAUUCCCGAUAGGACUGCAGGGUGGUGCCUGUGGUGGAAAACGAUUUUCUAGUGGUUGGGGAUGAGCUCGCGGCCUAUCAGCUUGUUGGUGGGGUAAUGGCCUACCAAGGCGGCGACGGGUAGCCGGCCUGGGAGGGUGGACGGCCACAUUGGGACUGAGAUACGGCCCAGACUCCUACGGGAGGCAGCAGUGGGGAAUAUUGCACAAUGGGCGGAAGCCUGAUGCAGCGACGCCGCGUGGGGGAUGACGGCCUUCGGGUUGUAAACUCCUUUCGACCGCGAGGAAGCCACCUGGUUGGAAGGGUGGUGACGGUAGUGGUAGAAGAAGCACCGGCUAACUACGUG